GACAUGUUUAGAUUUAACUCAAUUUAAUCAUGACAUCACCACAAACAUAUAAAAAAGUUAAGAGUUUAAAUUUGUUUUCCAUGAAAAAGAAAUACUUAUUACAACCUACAGAGAAUUUAUUGGUAUUAAUUUGUAAAAGCUUUCAUCCACCCCAUCUGACCAACAAAAGAAAUUAAAAUUACUUUAUUAUUGAAAGCAAUGAAAAUAGAU
rnacentral:lncRNA from 1 species